rnacentral:rRNA from 1 species
CCAGCAGUCUCGGUAAUACGUAGGUAGCCAGCGUUAUCCGGAUUUAUUGGGCGUAAAGCGAGCGCAGGCGGUUUUCUAAGUCUGAUGUGAAAGCCCUCGGCUUAACCGAGGAAGUGCAUCCGAACCUGGGAAACUUGAGUGCAGGAGAGGACAGUGGAACUCCAUGUGUAGCGGUGAAAUGCGUAGAUAUAUGGAAGAACACCAGUGGCGAAAGGCGGCUGUCUGGUCUGUAACUGACGCCUGAGGCUCGAAAGCAUGGGUAGCGAACAGGAUUAGAUACCCUGGUAGUCCAUGCCGUAAACGAUGAAUGCUAGGUGUUGGAGGGUUUCCGCCCUUCAGUGCCGCAGCUAACGCAUUAAGCAUUCCGCCUGGGGAGUACGACCGCAAGGUUGAAACUCAAAGGAAUUGACGGGGGCCCGCACAAGCGGUGGAGCAUGUGGUUUAAUUCGAAGCAACGCGAAGAACCUUACCAGGUCUUGACAUCUUUUGAUCACCUGAGAGAUCAGGUUUCCCCUUCGGGGGCAAAAUGACAGGUGGUGCAUGGUUGUCGUCAGCUCGUGUCGUGAGAUGUUGGGUUAAGUCCCGCAACGAGCGCAACCCUUAUGACUAGUUGCCAGCAUUUAGUUGGGCACUCUAGUAAGACUGCCGGUGACAAACCGGAGGAAGGUGGGGAUGACGUCAAAUCAUCAUGCCCCUUAUGACCUCGGCUACACACGUGCUACAAUGGAUGGUACAACGAGUUGCGAGACCGCGAGGUCAAGCUAAUCUCUUAAAGCCAUUCUCAGUUCGGACUGUAGGCUGCAACUCGCCUACACGAAGUCGGAAUCGCUAGUAAUCGCGGAUCAGCACGCCGCGGUGAAUACGUUCCCGGGCCUUGUACACACCGCCCGUCACACCAUGAGAGUUUGUAACACCCGAAGCCGGUGGCGUAACCCUUUAGGAGCGAGCCGUCUAAA